rnacentral:rRNA from 1 species
UACGGGGGGGGGCUAGCGUUGUUCGGAAUUACUGGGCGUAAAGGGCGCGUAGGCGGUCUAUUAAGUUGGAUGUGAAAACUCUGGGCUUAACCCAGAGCCUGCAUUCAAAACUGAUAGGCUGGAGUUCUGGAGGGGAUAGCGGAAUUCCUGGUGUAGCGGUGAAAUGCGUAGAUAUCAGGAGGAACACCGGUGGCGAAGGCGGCUAUCUGGACAGAAACUGACGCUGAGGCGCGAAAGCUAGGGGAGCAAACAGG